CGCGGCGUUCGAGUGUGAAUCGAGAUUAAAAGAGUGCCUCAACAAGAUAUUCGAUAGGGGUUCCUCCUAUUCGUGACACGGGACACGUGGCUGGCCUUUUCUCUUCUAACUUCCACUCUUCUCAUCUCCCUCGUUUCUCUCAAACUCUUUAUCCUCUAUACUAAUACUAAUACCAAUACAGCAUAAUAUAAUAAAUAUAAUAAAAUACAUGCACACACAUAUACAUGUAUUAAUCUGGCGAAGAGGCAACCACUUGAACCUGCUGAUCACGCGGAUCACUAACAAUUGGAUGCCCUCGGCGCAAUGCUCACCUGGCUUUUUUUAACUGGUCUUCACUCAAAAAACAAAAAAAUGUCGAGAUUGAUAUUAAUCACUCUAUUGGUCGCCUUAAUGAUGGCUGCAGUGGUCGACGCAUGCGGAGGACCGGAUGACAGGUGUGACAGAUGGCAAUGUUGCCCAGGGUAUCCGUGCAUCGCAGGAUAUUGUCGUGAAUAAGAUAAUUCAAAUGAAUAUUGAUCGACAAAUAUACAUCAAUGAAACUGUAAUAUUUUUUCAAUGAUGCAAUAAAAAUUACCAGAUUAAUCACAAUAA
rnacentral:lncRNA from 1 species